CAUUCCAAAUUUUUUGCCUUCUGGCCAGUCCGUGAUCACUUCCACAAUUCCUGGGAGACUGGGGUUUCCUAUUCGAGCUCAUUCUGUGAUCAGCGCAACCCACUUACUCCACGUGGCAUCAGUUGCAUGAUGUGUAGAGGAGACCCUCCCUUUGAACAUCCAGCCCAGCACUGGCAGGCAGGGUGCUAAGAGGAGCUGUGCUUCAGUACCAACCACUUCUGAGGCAGCUCGAACUCCUUCAUGUGCUGCCAAAA